rnacentral:piRNA from 1 species
UGGCAAAAUGCAUGGUGCA